AGUGAACGCUGGCGGUAGGCCUAACACAUGCAAGUCGAACGGCAGCACAGGAGAGCUUGCUCCCUGGGUGGCGAGUGGCGGACGGGUGAGGAAUACAUCGGAAUCUACUCUGUCGUGGGGGAUAACGUAGGGAAACUUACGCUAAUACCGCAUACGACCUACGGGUGAAAGCAGGGGACCUUCGGGCCUUGCGCGAUUGAAUGAGCCGAUGUCGGAUUAGCUAGUUGGCGGGGUAAAGGCCCACCAAGGCGACGAUCCGUAGCUGGUCUGAGGGGAUGAUCAGCCACACUGGAACUGAGACACGGUCCAGACUCCUACGGGAGGCAGCAGUGGGGAAUGUUGGACAAUGGGCGCAAGCCUGAUCCAGCCAUACCGCGUGGGUGAAGAAGGCCUUCGGGUUGUAAAGCCCUUUUGUUGGGAAAGAAAUCCAGCUGGCUAAUACCCGGUUGGGAUGACGGUACCCAAAGAAUAAGCACCGGCUAACUUCGUGCCAGCAGCCGCAGUAA
rnacentral:rRNA from 1 species